rnacentral:lncRNA from 1 species
GUUCUUUCUUUUCAAACCCUUGCAGAGACUAUAUUCCCAAUAUCCCAACCUGCCCGAGGUCAGAGACUGUUGAUCAGUGGCCAGCUGUAUCUUGGGUCUUAGUCUGAUUGUGAAGAAGGAUGAAGUCAGGAAGAGCUCUGUGAACACACUAUGGAAUGCAGCCUUUUGUAACAGCCCCCUGUACAGGAAGAAAUGUUUUUCUUCAAGACCAUUCCUGAUUCUGGUUUCCUAAUUCCGUUUCUGAGCAGCUUCUCUCCACUGUGUUGGCUGUCUUUGGGAAAACAGAAGGCCCUCCUGAAGAUGGUGAAACUGUCCCUUGUCUCUCAAUGGAAAGUAAACACCUGGGAACUUUUCAGCUCAACAUAUUUGCGGCCCUGAGACUGCCAAGAUUCUUCACUGUGAAAGUUCUCCAAGGAUUAGCCUAUUCCUGUUCUCCCUGUUCCACACAUAAAUAUUAAUUACCCCUAAAUACAGCCCAUUUACUAGCAUCAGUCAUGAAAAAUUUAAAAUGCCAAGCGAGUGUGAGAGAAACUUGACUGUAAAUAAUUGUUACAUUGUUCUGUUUGUUCUCAGCAUUGGUAGUUAGGAGUUUGUG